GAUGAACGCUGGCGGCGUGCCUAAUACAUGCAAGUCGAGCGAACAGAUAAGGAGCUUGCUCCUUUGACGUUAGCGGCGGACGGGUGAGUAACACGUGGGUAACCUACCUAUAAGACUGGAAUAACUCCGGGAAACCGGGGCUAAUGCCGGAUAACAUUUAGAACCGCAUGGUUCUAAAGUGAAAGAUGGUUUUGCUAUCACUUAUAGAUGGACCCGCGCCGUAUUAGCUAGUUGGUAAGGUAACGGCUUACCAAGGCAACGAUACGUAGCCGACCUGAGAGGGUGAUCGGCCACACUGGAACUGAGACACGGUCCAGACUCCUACGGGAGGCAGCAGUAGGGAAUCUUCCGCAAUGGGCGAAAGCCUGACGGAGCAACGCCGCGUGAGUGAUGAAGGUCUUCGGAUCGUAAAACUCUGUUAUUAGGGAAGAACAAAUGUGUAAGUAGCUGUGCACGUCUUGACGGUACCUAAUCAGAAAGCCACGGCUAACUACGUG
rnacentral:rRNA from 1 species